UACGUAGGGUGCAAGCGUUGUCCGGACUUAUUGGGCGUAAAGAGCGUGUAGGCGGCUUUACAGGUCCGUUGUGAAAACUCGAGGCUCAACCUCGAGACGCCGGUGGAAACCGUAAGGCUAGAGUCCGGAAGAGGAGAGUGGAAUUCCUGGUGUAGCGGUGAAAUGCGCAGAUAUCAGGAAGAACACCCGUGGCGAAGGCGGCUCUCUGGGACGGUACUGACGCUGAGACGCGAAAGCGUGGGGAGCGAACAGG
rnacentral:rRNA from 1 species